UGGUGUCCCGUCAUAUUUCUCCGGGAGGUGUAGACGGGUAUCGCUGACCUGAGCGGUUUGCUGGAUGGGCUGGUGUGCUGACUCAUUGGGUAGACGGGCUCUAGAAUAUCCUCCGCUGUUGAGACAUUGUAGACUGCGGAGAACAUCUUUCAUGGCCGUCCCCAGUUGAGCCAGCUGAUCAUGGUGUUGACGAAGAAGUUAACCUUGUUCAUCGAUUGUCUGGGAGAUGUCCGGUUGUCCUGCUGCUUCCAUAUUGAUCCAACAGCUUUCCCAAUGCCUCCUGCACCUUCUGGACCACAAACGGAAUAUUCCUUCCUCUUUUCCAGAGCACCCCAUCAGCAAACAGGGAGAGGCCAAAACCAGGCCCGACAUCCUGGAACAUGUUAUUCAUCAUUAUAUUAAACAAAAUUGGAC
rnacentral:lncRNA from 1 species